CUCCUAGACCUGUGCAAUGUUGCAUCAAGGCAAUGGGUCAGGGUGGGAACACAGCAGCCCACCUUGAUGUAGCAUGUGCCGCAGGGAUCUGGGGGAAG
rnacentral:SRP_RNA from 1 species